rnacentral:rRNA from 1 species
AGAGUUUGAUCAUGGCUCAGAACGAACGCUGGCGGCAGGCUUAACACAUGCAAGUCGAACGCACUCUUCGGAGUGAGUGGCAGACGGGUGAGUAACGCGUGGGAACGUACCCUUUGGUUCGGAAUAACCCAGGGAAACUUGGGCUAAUACCGGAUACGCCGGAAACGGGAAAGAUUUAUCGCCGAAGGAUCGGCCCGCGUCGGAUUAGCUAGUUGGUGGGGUAAUGGCCCACCAAGGCGACGAUCCGUAGCUGGUCUGAGAGGAUGAUCAGCCACACUGGGACUGAGACACGGCCCAGACUCCUACGGGAGGCAGCAGUGGGGAAUAUUGGACAAUGGGCGCAAGCCUGAUCCAGCCAUGCCGCGUGAGUGAAGAAGGCCUUAGGGUUGUAAAGCUCUUUCAGCGGGGAAGAUAAUGACGGUACCCGCAGAAGAAGCCCCGGCUAACUUCGUGCCAGCAGCCGCGGUAAUACGAAGGGGGCUAGCGUUGUUCGGAAUUACUGGGCGUAAAGCGCGCGUAGGCGGACAUUUAAGUCAGGGGUGAAAUCCCAGGGCUCAACCCUGGAAUUGCCUUUGAUACUGGAUGUCUGGAGUUCGGGAGAGGUGAGUGGAAUUGCGAGUGUAGAGGUGAAAUUCGUAGAUAUUCGCAGGAACACCAGAAGCGAAGGCGGCUCACUGGCCCGAGACUGACGCUGAGGCGCGAAAGCGUGGGGAGCAAACAGGAUUAGAUACCCGUAGUCC